rnacentral:rRNA from 1 species
AGCAGCCGCGGUAAUUCCAGCUCCAAUAGCGUAUAUUAAAGUUGCUGCAGUUAAAAAGCUCGUAGUUGAAUUUCGGGACCGAUAUAUCGGUCGUGCCUCGGUACGUACUGGUAUUUUCGGUUUCUCCCUUCUGACGAACCUUGAUGUCAUUAAUUUGGUGUCUUGGGGAAUCAGGACCGUUACUUUGAAAAAUUAGAGUGUUUAAAGCAGGCUCACGCUUGAAUACAUUAGCAUGGAAUAAUGAAAUAGGACGUUUGAUUCUAUUUUGUUGGUUUCUAGGAUCGACGUAAUGAUUAAUAGGGAUAGUUGGGGGCAUUAGUAUUCAAUUGUCAGAGUGAAAUUCUUGGAUUUAUUGAAGACUAACUACUGCGAAAGCAUUUGCCAAGGAUGUUUUCAUUAAUCAAGAACGAAAGUUAGGGGAUCGAAGACGAUCAGAUACCGUCGUAGUCC